rnacentral:tRNA from 1 species
GGGAAUGUGGCUUAGUGGUAGAGUGCUUGCCUAGUAUGCAUGAAGCCCUGGGUUCGAUUCCUCAGAACCA